AAUAUUGCACAAUGGGCGAAAGCCUGAUGCAGCAACGCCGCGUGAAGGAAGAAGGCCNNNGGGUUNUCAACUUCUUUGACGAGNGACNAAACAAAUGACGGUACCUCGAAAACAAGCCACGGCUAACUACGUGCCAGCAGCCGCGGUAAUACGUAGGUGGCAAGCGUUGUCCGGAUUUACUGGGUGUAAAGGGCGCGUAGGCGGGAUUGCAAGUCAGAUGUGAAAUACCGGGGCUUAACUCCGGGGCUGCAUUUGAAACUGUGAUUCUUGAGUGUCGGAGAGGCAGGCGGAAUUCCUAGUGUAGCGGUGAAAUGCGUAGAUAUUAGGAGGAACACCAGUGGCGAAGGCGGCCUGCUGGACGAUAACUGACGCUGAGGCGCGAAAGCGUGGGGAGCAAACAGG
rnacentral:rRNA from 1 species